rnacentral:rRNA from 1 species
AUUGAACGCUGGCGGCAUGCCUUACACAUGCAAGUCGAACGGUAACAGGUCUUCGGAUGCUGACGAGUGGCGAACGGGUGAGUAAUACAUCGGAACGUGCCCGAUCGUGGUGGAUAACGAAGCGAAAGCUUUGCUAAUACCGCAUACUAUCUACGGAUGAAAGCAGGGGACCGCAAGGCCUUUCGCGAACGUGCCGGCCGAUGGCAGAUUAGGUAGUUGGUGGGAUAAAAGCUUACCAAGCCGACGAUCUGUAGCUGGUCUGAGAGGACGACCAGCCACACUGGGACUGAGACACGGACCAGACUCCUACGGGAGGCAGCAGUGGGGAAUUUUGGACAAUGGGCGAAAGCCUGAUCCAGUCAUGCCGCGUGCAGGAUGAAGGCCUUCGGGUUGUAAACUGCUUUUGUACGGAACGAAAAGACUCUGGUUAAUACCUGGGGUCCAUGACGGUACCGUAAGAAUAAGCACCGGCUAACUACGUG